CUGCCAGCAAACGUGAAUGCCUGGAUGUUGGGGCCUGGGCCACACGGUAUUGCACGAGUCAAAGGACCAUCCGCAUCGUUGUGGCAAAGCAGAUACUGACACGAGUCUUGGGCACCCACUAACCGGUUUUGAUCCUUUCUGCGACAGUAGGAGGUAGUGUCUAGAAACUAAGGCACACGGGGGUUGAGGUCCCUGUCCCAAGAUCCCAGCUGCUAAGAGACAGGCAGUAGAGGGGAAAAGGAUUGUUCUAAGUACCUAAAUGAUACGAGCCUGCGUUUGCAGCUGACCAAACAGGCCUUGGGGAAAUGACUUCACCUCUCUGAACCUCAGUUUGCCCACUCUAGAAAAUGGAGGUAAAGUAGGACCCACACCGCAGAGCCGUAGCAAGUUUUUGGCAAGAUGAUAUAUGAUUAGUAUGGUGCCAGGCACAGCUAACGAGACCUGGACGGGACCUCCCACUCACCCCCAUCUGAGCCUCUGGGGAAACAUCUGGACCGCGGAGGCUGAUCGAUGAUGAAGUAUUUACUUAGCUCUACGCCCACAGUCCGGCUGGAGAGACACCCUUGGGUUCAAGGCGAAAGGCUUCCAGGAAAGGUGGCUGGGCCUCAAGGUCAUCAGUCAUCAGGAAUUGCCCACCUUGUCUCUGGGGACAGUCUGGAGCUGUCUCAUGGGAAGUUCUCCUU